rnacentral:miRNA from 1 species
GAGGGAGAGGAUGAAAGGGGAGGAUAGGAGGGAGGAGUAACAAAAGUGAAAACAAAAACUUGAAAGUGAAACAAUUUCAAAUAGAGUUCUGUUUUUAGUUUUUGUUUUCACUUUUAUUACUUAUCUUUCCCAUCAUUCCCUCUCAGUCCUAUCUCCA